rnacentral:rRNA from 1 species
GAUGAACGCUAGCUACAGGCUUAACACAUGCAAGUCGAGGGGCAGCGCAGUGUAGCAAUACACGGGCGGCGACCGGCGCACGGGUGCGUAACGCGUAUCCAACCUUCCCGUUACUCAGGGAUAGCCUUCCGAAAGGGAGAUUAAUACCUGAUGGUGUUUGAAUUCCGCAUGUUAUUCAAGCUAAAGAUUUAUCGGUAACGGAUGGGGAUGCGUGACAUUAGAUAGUAGGCGGGGUAACGGCCCACCUAGUCUACGAUGUCUAGGGGUUCUGAGAGGAAGGUCCCCCACAAUGGAACUGAGACACGGUCCAGACUCCUACGGGAGGCAGCAGUGAGGAAUAUUGGUCAAUGGUCGGAAGACUGAACCAGCCAAGUAGCGUGAAGGAUGAAGGUUCUAUGGAUUGUAAACUUCUUUUAUACGGGAAUAAAACCUCCCACGUGUGGGAGCUUGUAUGUACCGUAUGAAUAAGCAUCGGCUAACUCCGUGCCAGCAGCCGCCGUAAAAC